rnacentral:tRNA from 1 species
GCCCCCGUAGCCCAAUUGGCAGAGGCAGGGAACUUAAAAUUCUCACAGUGCCGGUUCGAACCCGGCCGGGGGCACGA